rnacentral:tmRNA from 1 species
GGGGCCGACCCGGUUUCGACGUGGAUAGCAAAACAGACAGGUGCAUGCCGAGCCCCAGUACGCUCGAUAAACCACUGGAAACAAAGUAACUGC